rnacentral:lncRNA from 1 species
GUCAACCUGAAGACCGCGCCUGCGAGCAGGUGGUGCUAGUCGGCGCGCGAUUAGGGGUGGUACUUACCAGCUAUAUAUCUUUCUCUAUAUUGGCAGCUUUAUCCCCGCCAUCCCACGCACAUCCAAAACGUUCGUUUGUUAUCCUGAACCGGCCCUGAUUGCAUGCUGCCUGAGCCAUUAUUACAACCUCAGCCAGCCGCAUCUUUUUGUGAGAAGUAAGAAGUAAGCAAGGCCCGCUGGAGCCGGGAAUGGGGCGCCGCUGGUCAUUUCGCGCGCGUGGGUACGCGGCCAGGUAUUUAGUGCGCAAUCAGAUGUGUUAUUAGCUAUAGGUGCACGCGGUACGUUCGUACACCGACGGAAGCAGCAGCUCGUAUUGAGAGGUUGGGUCUUCGGUAGUGAGAUCCAAUAUUGUUCUUCCUUACUUCACAACGUAAGGUCUGGAAUAUGUGGAGCGGGAUGAGUUAGACCUAGUAAGUACUACGUGGUAGAUGCUGGCCUACGGCACACACGUAUUAGUGUCCUUGCGUGUUUACCGCCUAUGGCGGGUGCAAGUGGCGGCGGCGAGAGGCGCAUAAUAAUAGCGGAUAGGAUAACCGCUGCAGACGGCCCGUGCUGGUUAAUAAAUGAAUGGGAUCGCCGACGUAACAUGGCUAGCGUGUUGCGUUAUCCUCGCUGCUGCAAGCAUGACCUUGCGCGCGCCUUAGCCAGCUGCAGCUGCUGAGCAACGAGCAGCUAAGCUGAUGCGCAUGUUUGAACAUAGGAUGCAGCCCAGCCAAAGCUACGCACUCCAGCCCAACCCCGCACCUCUACAUCAGCUCAAUUGAGGCUUUCAGCGACAGGAUUUGCAUGUCAUGAGAUGGUCUGGGCAGAUUUCGGCGCAAUAAUGGCCGACGACGUGCACUCAACUCGUUUGUGGCCCCAAAAAGACCAGGACAUUAUGACGAUGCAAGCUCACCCACCUAGGUCCACAUCCUCCCCUUGCCUUUAAACGUCCGCCGCUGUUAUACCGUUGUCAACCGUCACGCCCGCUCCCCGCGUAACUGGUUCCAAUAGCAGCGGCUGCGGCAGAUUGAGUACGCUGCUAUAUGAAGAGCUUCGGACGAGAGUCCUGCACGCCUUUGAGCCAAGCACCUGAAUUUGGUCAGCCAGGGGCGUUAUGGCGUGUUUUUGCCGAUCAGAGAGGUCCAAAUCAACCGUUGGAUGAGGAAGGUUUGAAUUUUUCCAUUCGUUGGGCGGCCUGAUAGAAUUCGCCGAGCAGCAAGGGAAGGAGGCGAGUAUACUCGCCUCCACUGAAACACUAUAGUGUUGCACCUAGCAGAAAAAUUAGGACGGUUAGGACGUAUGCACAGGCCACAUUAGUUAUAGGCGUCUUUCUGGCACCUUGACAAUGCCUUGUCCAGUCCUCUUUCUUGUGGAAUGGUCAGGAGACAACUUUGCUUGCCUGAAAAGGCCCACGUGGGAUGGCCAAGCAUUCGCCCAAGAGCUUAAAACCCUUUAAUACUGAUACGACUGUGUCCUCAAGAUAAGAUUAUGUUUAAAUUACGACCUAACAUGCGCUGGGAGAGACUCAGCCGAAAGUACCACGACGGGAGCUUAAACCGCCCAAUUUUAAAGUAAGUGACGAUGCUUGCAGCCUAUAAUUUCAUGUUCCAGAUUAGAGGAUCUCAACCAAAAGAGAGUUCGAUAUGCACGGGCAAGAAGUACAAGGGUUGUACAGCUGUCCCUAUGCCAACCUGCGG